GAUGAACGCUGGCGGCGUGCCUAACACAUGCAAGUCGAACGGAGAUUUAUCGCUGAUGAGACUUCGGCCAAAUCUUGAGAAAUCUUAGUGGCGGACGGGUGAGUAACGCGUGGGCAACCUGCCUCAUACUGGGGGAUAGCAGUUGGAAACGACUGAUAAUACCGCAUAAGCGCACGAGAUCGCAUGAUCUAGUGUGAAAAACUCCGGUGGUAUGAGAUGGGCCCGCGUCAGAUUAGCUAGUUGGUAAGGUAACGGCUUACCAAGGCGACGAUCUGUAGCCGGACUGAGAGGUCGGACGGCCACAUUGGGACUGAGACACGGCCCAAACUCCUACGGGAGGCAGCAGUGGGGGAUAUUGCACAAUGGAGGAAACUCUGAUGCAGCGACGCCGCGUGAGUGAAGAAGUAUUUCGGUAUGUAAAGCUCUAUCAGCAGGGAAGAAAGGCUCGCAAGAGAGAUGACAGU
rnacentral:rRNA from 1 species